rnacentral:rRNA from 1 species
AUGAACGCUGGCGGCGUGCCUAACACAUGCAAGUCGAACGAGAAAGGUCGCAAGACUGAGUACAGUGGCGCACGGGUGAGUAAUACACGGGAAUCUACCCCUUUGUGGAGAAUACCUUGGAGAAAUCCAGGUUAAUACUGCAUAAGCCCAGAGAUGGGGAAAGGUGGCCUCAAGCUACCGCGGAGGGAUGAGCCUGUGUCCUAUUAGCUAGUUGGUAGGGUAAAAGCCUACCAAGGCAGAGAUGGGUAAUCGGCCUUAGAGGGUGUACGGUCACACUGGAACUGAAACACGGUCCAGACUCCUACGGGAGGCAGCAGUGGGGAAUAUUGCACAAUGGGCGAAAGCCUGAUGCAGCGACGCCGCGUGGAGGAUGAAGGUUUUCGGAUUGUAAACUCCUGUUAAGUGGGAAGAAAGACUGAUACCUAAUACGUAUUGGGGAUGACGGUACCACUAGAGAAAGCACCGGCAAACUUCGU